UUCUCUUAAACCACUGAAGAAAAUCGAGCCAAUUCCUUCUCAACUUAAGGUCACACAAUGACUUUCACACCAUGGUUGGGUGGGAGAUCUUAGUACACAGGGAUACCAAAAAAACCCCAACACAAAGCUUUCCCAAAUCUAAAGAAGUUUUAAUACUAGAUUCCUUUGAGACAAUUUAUAGUGGUGAUGUAACUAAGCAAUCUUCCAACGAGAAUUCAUGACUGACCUAGAGUGACUCACACGCCGAUUCCCUGUGCUGAUCUGCUUUUAAGGAAUGGGUUACAGCCAAAAUAUGUUGCCUAUAAAAUAAACCAGUACUCUGCUUG